rnacentral:misc_RNA from 1 species
AAACAUUGCGCGAUUUGAUUUAGGUUCACGCAAAAUAUCACUAGUCGAAUUUACAGCAGCGCCACAGCAGAGGUAGGGGAAUCGCAUCGACCGGCCACGAUCUGUUAUGAUCCACGGCAUGUUUACCAAAAAUAUUAGAAUCUAUCUGUCGAUAAUAUCGUAGAAACCACGACUGAUGUUGUUAUCUUGAUCAGAGAAAUGACAUGGUGAAUUAAAUAGGAUAGGAUGAUCUCCGUUGAUGACAGAGUAAACACUUGCCAUUGAUGCAUUCGAAAUGAGUGUUGUAAGAAAAGGACAAUAAACGAGACGCAUUAAGGAUAAUAAUGGCAUGCUAACUUCUAA